AGAGUUUGAUCCUGGCUCAGAUUGAACGCUGGCGGAAUGCUUUACACAUGCAAGUCGAACGGCAGCACGGGGGCAACCCUGGUGGCGAGUGGCGAACGGGUGAGUAAUACAUCGGAACGUGCCCAGUCGUGGGGGAUAACGUAGCGAAAGUUACGCUAAUACCGCAUACGAUCUACGGAUGAAAGCGGGGGACCGUAAGGCCUCGCGCGAUUGGAGCGGCCGAUGUCAGAUUAGGUAGUUGGUGAGGUAAAGGCUCACCAAGCCGACGAUCUGUAGCUGGUCUGAGAGGACGACCAGCCACACUGGGACUGAGACACGGCCCAGACUCCUACGGGAGGCAGCAGUGGGGAAUUUUGGACAAUGGGCGCAAGCCUGAUCCAGCCAUUCCGCGUGCAGGACGAAGGCCUUCGGGUUGUAAACUGCUUUUGUACGGAACGAAAAGGCUCUGGUUAAUACCUGGGGCUCAUGACGGUACCGUAAGAAUAAGCACCGGCUAACUACGUGCCAGCAGCCGCGGUAAU
rnacentral:rRNA from 1 species